UACGUAGGGGGCAAGCGUUGUCCGGAAUCAUUGGGCGUAAAGAGCGUGUAGGCGGCCCGGUAAGUCCGCUGUGAAAGUCCAGGGCUCAACCCUGGGAUGCCGGUGGAUACUGUCGGGCUCGAGUCCGGAAGAGGAGUGUGGAAUUCCCGGUGUAGCGGUGAAAUGCGCAGAUAUCAGGAAGAACACCCGUGGCGAAAGCGGCUCUCUGGAACGGUACUGACGCUGAGACGCGAAAGCGUGGGGAGCGAACAGG
rnacentral:rRNA from 1 species